UACAGGGGGGGCAAGCGUUUGUUCGGAAUUACUGGGCGUAAAGGGUUUGUAGGUGGCCACUUAAGUCAGACGUGAAAUCCCUCAGCUUAACUGGGGAACUGCGUCUGAUACUGCGUGGCUUGAGUGCAGGAGAGGAACGCGGAAUUCCAGGUGUAGCGGUGAAAUGCGUAGAUAUCUGGAGGAACACCGGUGGCGAAGGCGGCGUUCUGGACUGUAACUGACACUGAAAAACGAAAGCCAGGGGAGCAAACGGG
rnacentral:rRNA from 1 species